CCUAAGGCUCGGCCCGAGCAUUGAAAUGAAAAUGAGAUCCCGCCGAGAAUUUAAGCUUUCCACUGAUUGGUCGUUCAAUGCUCUCGACCAAUCAGAGACGGAGAUAUUACAACGCAAAUAAAGGAGGCGGUAUGUCAACAAAGCCGUGUGGCUCUGCUGCAGUGAAUGCGGGGGAAGCAGCGCUGUACAGAGCGACUGCAUGUGGUUUGCUUUAUAAUAAAGAAUAAAAACUAUAGACGAUGACAUCGGGUCAGAGAUAGCAAACAAAAAGAAAACAAAUGGAUGACUGGUGAGAUUUUGGCAGAGCUGGAUUGUGAAAGUGAGACUACUGGACUACGGUUCAUCUGAGGAAGACUAAUUACUUUAGUAUAAGGAUCUCGAAGGUUUCCUCCAACCUGCCAACAAACACGACUGCAGGUGGAUCGGCUGUGUGUGUGAAUCUUCGUGCAUGGUGUUGUGCGAUGGACUGGCAUCCCAUCCCACCUUCGACCCACUGUGAUCGGCUCGGGAUCCACCGUGACGCUGCCCAGGAUUAAACGUCUACUGAAGAUGAAGGAACAAAUCAUUUGUGUACACGUCCCAGAGUCUGGAGGAAGAGUGGAGAGGAACAGAAUCCAAGUCCAGUGUGACGUUUCCACAGUCAGUGAUGAUUUGGGUUGCCAUGUGAUCUGCUGGUGUCGGUCCAGUGUGUUUUCUCAAGUCGAGAGUCGAUGCAGCGUCUACCAGGAGAUUUUAGAGCACUUCCACUAUAUUAUAAUUUUUUAAGAUUCACCUGUAGGUAUGAGAUCAGACAGGUGCUGUAUUAAGUCUUCAUUUCCUAAAGACAUUGUAAUGCACCUAUAAGGCAAGAUUAAGCACCUGAUCUCUAUCACAUCUCAGUAGCUUGAAGUCAACACUCCCAUUUCUCAGUGUGGUGGACAAAAGGAAAUUUUAGUCAUGGAGCUACAGCUGCCCUACAUUAACGUUGAUGUUUAAACCUUUUUUUUUUUUUUAAUACACUAAGUUACCUAUUUUGUAGACAGACAUGAUUUGAUAGAACAGCAUGUUGCAGCAACCAGACAUUUUGGCUUAUAAUUUGUGGAACAAAAAUAAUUACUACUAUUACUACUACAAUAACAGGGUUUGGACAUUAAGUACACAGGAUGAGCACCAACCCACACUUUAAAAUAACUGGGUUUAAAACAAACCCACACAGAAAAACACCCACAGUGACUAUAGGACAGAACACACACUAGGAAGCAAACUGGUUUGUAUGCACUUGAAGGCUGUGUUCAUGGUCGUGCAUUUACAGCAUACAUGGAUUAUUAUUACUUUCAUGUUUGAGUAAAACCUAUAAAAAUGUUAGUCAUAAUUUGAGCACAUGCAUGAAUGGGGAAAAAAUGCAUGAAUUCAUCCAGAUCAAUCAAGUUCUCAGAAACACAUUUCAGCCAUUUCUUCAUGCCACAAAAAGCUCUUUUAUAAACUGUGAACAUAAAGUCCAGUCUGAGAACAUCUUUGUCCCAAAAACAAGAUGUUAUAUUUAUAAAAAAUAUUAACAAAUAUAAAAAUUAAUGCAAUAUGCUUUCUAACAUCCUUCUGGGGGAAUUCAUUUUUAAAAAUUUUUAGUUUUUUAAUGAACGUCAAGAUCCUAGCGACUUUUUGUCCUUUGCUGAGAAAAUGUAUCACGUUUAUAAAUGUUAUAAAUGCAAUGGUGUAACAUCUGUAAUGUCUUUUCCGUACAUUAAAAUGAAAACAAACAAAAACAUUUGUGUAUGCAAAUGCGCUUCAUCUAAU
ensembl:lncRNA